rnacentral:lncRNA from 1 species
CCCCAGCACCCCUCUUGCCACACUGCACAGACAAACCUCUGAAGCUCCUUCCCUAUCGCCCUCCCAUCCAGGCUGCCAGCCUCCACCUGAUCCACUGGAGCCAUCACUCAGUGAUUUGUGAUGUACUGAAACACAAUUUACAUUGCAAAAAGCUCUAAUACGUCCCUGGAAAGCAAUUAAGAGCUGCACACGAGUGUUAAGGGGUUUUUUCCACAAGCAGAUGUCCUCUUGGCAGAUACACCACCGACCUCUCGUUCCAGCAAGCUCUGCUCCACCUCAGAGACGAGGAGAGGGACAGUCCCGCUCCUGAGCGGCCAGGCUGAUUUUUAUUAGGCCUUCCUCCGGAAAUAAGAAGUAUGGUGAGGCGAGGUGAUCUUCCCCUGCGGCUGCUGGUGUGGAUUAUGGAGCUGGCAGCAGCAGGAACGCAUUAAGGAAAGCUCCCAGCAACGGCCUUCCAGAAAGGUCCUCAUGAGCCUUCCCCUGCUGCUUUCAUGCUGGCAGCUUCAAUUUUCAAGGCCUUCUCCUGAUCCUGGUGUGACACAGAAAUGGGAGGAUUUGUGUGGACCUGGUACCUGGGCAAGAAACGUUUCUGCUGCAGCUGCAUCCCCAUCCUGCUUGAUGCUACCCCUGCAGACACAGGGUGGCACAAUGCUGACGGCAGCCCCAACACCUGGCAAAAUCACCCAAAGGCUGGACCAUCAGAGCUGGUGGAAGGUCAAUAACUCACAGAGGGAGAAGCCCCUGAAGCAGAACCUGAGAAAGCAGCUGGGCUGGGUUUCAUCCCAUUGAACUCAAGUCAGCGUUUUGUCUGUCUCAGCCAGUGAGAAAAACAGGCACCUUUGGGAACUAUUAAUUGGUAAUAAUUUGAAUUUCUUUUUAAAAUAAAAUUUAAAACAUCCUACA